UACGGAGGGUGCAAGCGUUAUCCGGAUUCACUGGGUUUAAAGGGUGCGUAGGUGGGUCUGUAAGUCAGUGGUGAAAUCUCCAAGCUUAACUUGGAAACUGCCGUUGAUACUAUAGACCUUGAAUGCUGUGGAGGUGAGCGGAAUAUGUCAUGUAGCGGUGAAAUGCUUAGAUAUGACAUAGAACACCAAUUGCGCAGGCAGCUCACUACACAGAUAUUGACACUGAGGCACGAAAGCGUGGGGAUCAAACAGG
rnacentral:rRNA from 1 species